rnacentral:rRNA from 1 species
UACGUAGGGGGCAAGCGUUGUCCGGAAUCAUUGGGCGUAAAGAGCGUGUAGGCGGCCAAGUAAGUCCGCUGUGAAAGUCAAAGGCUCAACCUUUGAAUGUCAGCGGAUACUGCUGGGCUAGAGUCCGGAAGAGGCGAGUGGAAUUCCUGGUGUAGCGGUGGAAUGCGCAGAUAUCAGGAGGAACACCAACGGCGAAGGCAGCUCGCUAGGACGGUACUGACGCUGAGACGCGAAAGCGUGGGGAGCGAACAGG